GCCGCGUGAACGAUGAAGGCCUUCGGGUCGUAAAGUUCUGUUGUUAGGGAAGAACAAGUACCAGAGUAACUGCUGGUACCUUGACGGUACCUAACCAGAAAGCCACGGCUAACUACGUGCCAGCAGCCGCGGUAAUACGUAGGUGGCAAGCGUUGUCCGGAAUUAUUGGGCGUAAAGCGCGCGCAGGUGGUUUCUUAAGUCUGAUGUGAAAGCCCACGGCUCAACCGUGGAGGGUCAUUGGAAACUGGGGAACUUGAGUGCAGAAGAGGAAAGUGGAAUUCCAAGUGUAGCGGUGAAAUGCGUAGAGAUUUGGAGGAACACCAGUGGCGAAGGCGACUUUCUGGUCUGUAACUGACACUGAGGCGCGAAAGCGUGGGGAGCGAACAGGAUUAGAUACCCUGGUAGUCCACGCCGUAAACGAUGAGUGCUAAGUGUUAGAGGGUUUCCGCCCUUUAGUGCUGCAGCAAACGCAUUAAGCACUCCGCCUGGGGAGUACGGUCGCAAGACUGAAACUCAAAGGAAUUGACGGGGGCCCGCACAAGCGGUGGAGCAUGUGGUUUAAUUCGAAGCAACGCGAAGAACCUUACCAGGUCUUGACAUCCCACUGCCCGGUAUAGAGAUAUACCUUUCCCUUCGGGGACAGUGGUGACAGGUGGUGCAUGGUUGUCGUCAGCUCGUGUCGUGAGAUGUUGGGUUAAGUCCCGCAACGAGCGCAACCCUUGAUCUUAGUUGCCAGCAUUUAGUUGGGCACUCUAAGGUGACUGCCGGUGACAAACCGGAGGAA
rnacentral:rRNA from 2 species